rnacentral:rRNA from 1 species
UACGUAGGGGGCUAGCGUUGUCCAGAUUUAUUGGGCGUAAAGAGCGUGUAGGCGGCCAGGUAGGUCUGCUGUGAAAACUCGAGGCUCAACCUCGAGACGUCGGCGGAAACCAUCUGGCUAGAGUCCGGAAGAGGAGAGUGGAAUUCCUGGUGUAGCGGUGAAAUGCGCAGAUAUCAGGAGGAACACCGGUGGCGAAGGCGGUUCUCUGGGCCUUACCUGACACUGAGGAGCGAAAGCGUGGGGAGCGAACAGG